UUGAUUUUGUGGGUGUUUGGAAAUUUUGGGGUUAGUUUGUUGUGGUUCAGUUUUGUGGUGAAAUGGAUAAUUCGAAGAAUCGGCUUAAUGAUCAUCUUGGUGUGAACAAAAUCGGGAAGAAUAUAAAGAAGAGCCCGUUGCAUCAACCUAAUUUCGCUAAUAAUGCGACUAGGCAACAGCCUCAGCCUCAAGUUUACAAUAUUAGCAAGAAUGAUUUCAGGAACAUUGUUCAACAACUCACUGGUUCACCGUCACAUAAUGAUCCUUUGCCAAGGCCUCCACAGAAUCCACCAAAACCCCAAAGUAUGAGGUUGCAGAGAAUUAGGCCUCCACCAUUGACACCAAUCAAUCGGCCUCAUAUUCCUCCCCUGGCUCCUGUCCCUGCCCCUGUUCCUGCUCAUGCACCGGCUCCGGUUCCACCUCCUGGUCCAUAUAAUAACCCUGGCUUAGUUAGGCCUGGACCACCUGGUCAAUAUGGACAACCACCAUCUACAAUGAUGCAACCUAUGGUUCCUGGUGAUGCUCCAUGGGCAAACACAGCUGACUCUCCUAUAUCUGCUUAUAUGCGAUAUCUUCAAACUUCUCUUAUAGAUCCAAGUCCAGUUGGAAAUCAAGUUCAACCUCAACUACAUCCGCUGGUUCCAGGGCAACCUCACGUUCCACCACCAUCUUCUGGUUUGCUUCCUAAUCCACCAAUGCCGGCUCUUCC
rnacentral:lncRNA from 1 species